rnacentral:rRNA from 1 species
GGCGAGUGAAGCGGCAAGAGCUCAAAUUUGAAAUCUGGCUCCUUCGGGGCCCGAGUUGUAAUUUGGAGAGGAUGCUUCGGGCGUGGCCCCUAUCUAAGUGCCCUGGAACGGGCCGUCAUAGAGGGUGAGAAUCCCGUCUGGGAUGGGUGGUCCCGCCCGUGUGAAGCUCCUUCGAAGAGUCGAGUUGUUUGGGAAUGCAGCUCUAAGAGGGUGGUAAAUUUCAUCUAAAGCUAAAUAUUGGCCGGAGACCGAUAGCGCACAAGUAGAGUGAUCGAAAGAUGAAAAGCACUUUGAAAAGAGAGUUAAACAGCACGUGAAAUUGUUGAAAGGGAAGCAUUGGCAACCAGACUUGCUUGGGGGGGCUCAGCCGGCACUUGUGCCGGUGCACUCCCCCCCGGCAGGCCAGCGUCGGUUUGGGCGGUCGGUCAAAGGUCCCGGGAAUGUAGCACCCUCCGGGGUGCCUUAUAGCCCGAGGCGCCAUGCGACCUGCCCGGACCGAGGAACGCGCUUCGGC